rnacentral:rRNA from 1 species
UACGAAGGGUGCAAGUGUUAAUCGGAAUUACUGGGCGUAAAGGGUGCGUAGGCGGUUCGUUAAGUCUGUCGUGAAAUCCCCGGGCUCAACCUGGGAAUGGCGAUGGAUACUGGCGAGCUAGAGUGUGUCAGAGGAUGGUGGAAUUCCCGGUGUAGCGGUGAAAUGCGUAGAGAUCGGGAGGAACAUCAGUGGCGAAGGCGGCCAUCUGGGACAACACUGACGCUGAAGCACGAAAGCGUGGGGAGCAAACAGG